CCUCGGGGUGCCCCGACAAGGGCUGAGAUGCGCCGCCGCGCGAACCCGUUGAACCUGAACCGGCUCACACCGGCGUAGGGAAGGUG
rnacentral:ncRNA from 1 species